ensembl:lncRNA
GUGAGAACGGGCCGUGUCUCUAGGAGCGGGAGGGCGGUCGGGACGUUUCCUCUGCCCGUGGUCAGCGCUUGGGCUAUAGCUCGCGAAUGAGAGUGACCGUGCCCCGAGCGGUGUCCUGAGGCCACAUUGUCCAGUUUUCCGGUUUCGGCUGGGAGUGGUCGUGUGUCUCAGUCGGCGGACGGCGCUGGGUUCCUGCCAGCCGUCCCUGGAUCCCGGCCUUCCUCCCCUGGAGUGGGGACGGGCCGAACGCGUGGGACAAGGUGGCGCUGGAUGGAGCGCCCGGCCAUCCCCGCGGCACCACAGUCCCCGUACCCGGGGCCUCAUGACCUGGAGUUCAGGUCCGCACCAGGGCCGGAAGCGGGGUAGCUGCUCCACGACAGCCACUGUCGUUUCUCCAAGCUCUGUGAUCGUCUGCAGGCUGGGCUGCGUCUUCGUGGGGAUCGCCUGUGGUCCCUUCUGUUCCCCUUGCGGCCUCGGCGCCUGUGUGGACCGCCACACACGUGCCCCCUCACCGAGGGUCACAUCAGGGAACGUGGCAGGCGAGCAAGGAGGUCGCCCAAUGCGCGGCUCCAGUCCUGCCUGGGCUCGGCGGUCAGAAGCGCCAAAUGUUUGAGACACAGAAAGCGUCCGGGGCCGUCCCGUGAGGGUCUUGGGGAGACGCGAGCCUGGCGCAUCUUUAGUCUCAAAAGAGCCUCUGAACACGCGUGAAAGGGAGGACGCGGGAGCGAGAAAUGCAACCUGCGGCGCACUCGGAGGAAACGAGUGCGGAGUGGUGAUGCUGUGCCUUUUCCCAAUUGCGAUCCGGAUUUGUCCCCGUGGCGUUCAUGCUGUUUGGUUGUAGCUGGGCCGCCAACAGGUCGACCAGAUGGCCAGACAACUUAGGUACUUUAAAAUUCCUUACGCUGCAGCGUGAAAACCCCCUGAAGGCAGAGAGCUGCGGAGUCAUCAGGUUGAUGUGUGUGCUCACCUUCACUCGAGGAACCUAGUCCUGGAACCCUAACACCGCCUGCUGUUCAGGGUCUGAGAACCGUUUCCUAUUUUGUUCAGCUUUCUAAUUCCCAGUGGUAGGUGAGGAAGUCUAGAGGCUGUUCCUCUUAUCAUUGCAGGAAGCGGAACCCUUUCCAGGGCCCUAGAGUGGGCUCACACGUGCUGACAAGGCAAGAGACUUGAUUGGAAGGGGCACCCAGGAGGACAGCAGCAGGUUACACCCCUUACGGACCCUCCCUCUCUCCUGGGCACCAGGCUCCCUGGUUCAGAUCAUCCAUGACCCAUUUCUCUACACUCAAGGAGUUAUCUGGCCACGUUGGCUCCAGCUCUAAUGGAGUGAGUUGAGCAUGAUGGACCCAGAGAAGAGUGGAGACAACAGGGCAUGAAAGAGAAAUAUAUUUUCAUGUUUGCUUAUAAGGAACUCUAGAAGGAUCCGUAAGAAACAAAAUACUACCUGUGGAGGCAGAUGGCCCUGGACACACAGGCUAAAUGACAGGAGGCACAGAUUAAGGCAAAGUGUAUUUUCAGUAUCUUGAAUCAUGUGCCUGUAUUAUA